UUAAGACAUCGCUAAGCCUUCAGACAUCUUUUGUCUCUGUGCUGGGUGCUUAAAAUUGAAUUACGAGGUUUGGCUGCCCAAAUUUUAUUCUUUGCUCUGAAAAGAGUUAAAGCAAAUUGUGUUCGGUUGCAAGACCAUCCCUGUAGGAGCAGAACUGGCGGCAGGAGAGGGCAACAGGAGGGCUCAUUUCCAAGGCUCAGAGUUUCUCCUAGGGCUACAGGCUGAGUGAAGCAAAGUCUUUGCCUCUCAUCAAAGAACAAACUUAAGGCUGCACUUGGCUGAAUCACUUGUACCUGAAGGAGCCUCUCCCUAGAGUCUCAUUUGGCCCCGUGUAACAUUUCCUCCUUUUGCUUACACCUCUUCCUCUCCCUGCCUCAGCCCCCACACAUGCACCUUGUUUGCAGCGUUGUUUUUCCUGCCGCAUCUCCGUCGUGACAGCAGCCAGACACGGAUCGUGUUUGCUGAAUUCAGGAAUUCCGCUCCGGUUCCGCUGCUCCCUGGCCAGAGGAUGCUCUGUGUUUGUUGCUUGAACUCUCUGUGCUCCGUGCAGGGAGCCCAGAGCCAGAAAGCCUGGCACAGCCCCGGCUGGAGGGGAGCCAGAGGCACGGGGGGACGGCUUUCCCCUGCGUCAGUGGGGAAGGGAAGAGCCCGAAACGAGCCUGAGAGCCAAGCAAGCACCCCAAGCAAAAGCCAGAUCCCAGAGGGGCUCGGCAGCUGGGCACUCAGUGCCACACAGAAACAAAGGGCUUGUGGAGGUGCCCAGUUUAAUGCUGGUGGGUGCUCAGACCCCUGAGUGAAGGCUUGUGCUUGUCCUGUGCGCAGUGCCAGAGCAAGGUGGACCAAAUGCAUUGCUGUUAGCCCCUGCACCAAAGUGCAAGGCUUCCAACCCCCAAAAUGACUUUGCCUGGCUGGCGGCUGUUCUCCGUGGGCAAAUCCAUGAGCAGCUGAUAUUAUUUUUAGUUCGCAGAAGCCCCACCUUGUGCGCAGGGUCACGGCACUCUCUCAAGGAGAAAGAUGCUCCCUCCCCAGCCGCUGCGUCCCAAACACGUGCCAGGGAGAGCUCGCGGGGCUGUGCAUGGUGCCCGUGGGGACAAACCCCAAAGGUGCUGGGGGCUGCUGUCCCCGAGGACCAUGAGACCAAGGGGACAGGACAGGCAGCGGCCAGCACAGGCACUUCCGACUGCUUUGGCAACGGGAGCGCUUAAUUCGUUGUCACCCUGGUAACGAUGCCCUGAGAGCAGCGGAGAGGAAACAGCAGAUGUUGUGCUCUCAGUUAUUUUCCCUCAAACUCCGGCAAGCAGGUGCAGGUGUCCUUGGCCUUCCCUCCCGAGGACCACGUGCAGCUGCUGGGGUAUAUGCUCUGUAUAACGUACCCCAUCCACCUCCACUGGAGAUGAAGCAGUAGAAAUGAACGGGAAGUGACUGGCAGAGACAUCCUUGUGUGGCUGGAUACCAGGAUGCAGCUGGAUGGGAAGUCUUCGCACACACUACCGGAGCUAGAUCCAUAGACACCUGAAAGCCCCUCUUCGGGUCUACCCUCUCUGCUUCUUCCCACGUUUGAAACAAGCCCACGUGCCAAAUAUGCAAGGGACCAGGGAUGCAAAAAACCCGUCUAAGAGUUCCUCAGAAUGGGUAGGCUUCUAAACACAAGAACUGCUUCUGCCCUUGAUGGAAACCAAGUAAUUCUAGAAAAAGAGAAGUUUUUAGCAUUUUGGGCAGCAUCAAGGGAAGUGUGGAGGAACUCUGCUCAGGCAAAUGCUCUCCUUUGUUGGAACCAUGCUCAGAUCAAUGAUUUACCUCAGCCCAAGAAAAGCCAGUUACAGCCUCUACGAGAUGAAUACGUGAGCAUCACAAGGCAUCUUCAAAUUGCACGCCACACUAAGCGACUGCUGCAUGGAGAGAGAUGUGAGCAAACAGGAUUAUUUAUUUUUUUUUGCAUGCUUUCUGCAGGGUUAGCCCCAGGCAACACCAGGCUUCUCACCUGCAUUUUUUAAGCUACAUUCUUUCUUCCGUUGCAUUGUAGCAUUUUAAGUGUGAUCAGAUUUGUUUUCCCUUGCAAGAAGGUUUAUUAAAGCUCCAACUGGACGAGUAGCCCCAGUCAGUAACCUCUGAAACAAGGGAAAUGUUUUCUAGGCUUGCAGCCUUCCUAGGGGCUUGACUAAGGUCUCGUGACAGGCUUCAGCUAGGAACGUAACCAAAAGCAAACAAGAAACAAAUUAUUAGUAGUAGAGUAGUUCAGAGUGAUGGAUUGGCAUUAAAGAAGAAAUAUACAGAUUCAAGCUAUGGGUUGUAUCUUAUUUUUCUUUUUAUAAGUAAAAAAACAAAGCAUUUAAUUAUUUGCAAACAGAUUUUAAUAAAAUGCCUGUAAAACCACUCUUGCCAGAGCAAACGUAUCAAACCAUUUAAUCUUUUCCCAUACCAGCAGAAACGUACAGCAUCUUUUGUUUGUGG